AACAUUUGCUGUUGCUAUUAAUAAAAAAUUGGUCACGUGAAUUCCCAAGGGUACUGUGAGGACAUCAACAUCUUUAAAAAGAAGCCACACUUGGAGAAGGAAAUCAGAAUUCAAUUUAAUUGAUCACAGAUGGAGAGGCCACAGCUUCAGAAGACUCUGCAGAUGUUCUGAGGGCUGGUGGCAUUUCUGGACCGUGGUUCUCAUCCUCCCUCUCCUCUCCCUCCUGCAACUCUUCUUCAGCAGGUCCUCGGAUUUUUACAGGUAUAAGCAGUGACUCAGUGCUGCAGAACUGGAACUGUCAAUCACUAUUUCAGUUUUAUUGCAGUUUGAAUUAAAGCUCUAAGAGGGUUCUGAAAGCAAAGUCAUGUGUUGCAACUGAUGUGUCACUCCAAUCAGCCAGCAGCCUCCAUUUCCUCUGGUCUCUGAAGCAUUAAAAAGCAAUGUCUCCUGUUCACAAUUUUGGAAUAAGCAUAAUUUUGGUUAAGAAGGUUUACUUCCAUGUCAUCAUGGAUGGAAUUGAGCUACAUGGCUGCAGCAACAUGUGUGCUUGUUUGGCAGCAGUUCCUCUUGGACAGAGAAGAACUUGCUUUUGAGUCAUCAGUCUCCUGCACAUCAUGAUACUCCUCUAGGUCUCAUCAUAUGCAUCUUCUAUUUAUAGUGUUAUGCAUUCUCAUCUUCAGGCAACAGUUAAGCAAGACUGGGGGCAAAGUAGUUGUCCCAUAUUAUGUGAUACCAAACUAAGCAUUUGACACUAAGGGAGAAGAUUUUAGGCUACUGUCUGCCCUCUUCAGGUUGCUACCAAGGACAAAGGAACCCUUGUUUCUAACUUACAUCAUAAACAUUCUGUUUCUUUGACAUACCUGUUUUUUCACAAGACACUCAUGCAUAUUCAUACGUCACACACUACAACUAUAUAGCAUAACUGCUCACCGAGUCC